rnacentral:rRNA from 1 species
UGGCGGAUGCUUUCCAUGCAAGUCGAACGGUAGAGGGGGCGACCCCUCGAGAGUGGCGAACGGGUGAGUAAUAUAUCGGAACGUGCCCAGUCGUGGGGGAUAACGUAGCGAAAGUUACGCUAAUACCGCAUACGAUCUACGGAUGAAAGCGGGGGAUCGCAAGACCUCGCGCGAUUGGAGCGGCCGAUAUCAGAUUAGGUAGUUGGUGGGGUAAAGGCUCACCAAGCCAACGAUCUGUAGCUGGUCUGAGAGGACGACCAGCCACACUAGAACUGAGACACGGUCCAGACUCCUACGGGAGGCAGCAGUGGGGAAUUUUGGACAAUGGACGCAAGUCUGAUCCAGCCAUUCCGCGUGCAGGAUGAAGGCCCUCGGGUUGUAAACUGCUUUUGUACGGAACGAAAAGGUUUCUAUUAAUACUAGGAGCUCAUGACGGUACCGUAAGAAUAAGCACCGGCUAACUACGUGCCAGCAGCCCGCGGUAAUA